GUUGUUGCAAAAACUAAACGCCCAUUCAUCAAGCGAGUCGAGAUGAGAGGAAUCAUUGUAUAAAAGGCUAGCAUGUAAAAGCUGGAAGAAGGAAAGAACACGGGAUAUGUAAUGGAACAUGGGAAAUUGAUAUGGACAUUGAUAUGGACCUUGAUAUGGACAUUGAUAUGAACAUGAAUAUGAACAUGAAUAUGAACAUGAAUAUGGUAUAGAGAACUACAUCGACACAGAAAAGAAAACAAAAGUUGCUAAAAUGACAAAGGUGCCGAAUCAACAGGCCAUAGUACCGAUGGAAUCCAAAUACAAUCCAAGAAUCAUUCAA